AAGAAGCAAAGGAAAACAUGAAAGAAAAUGCAGGGGGGAGUCGUUCUCCUUUUCUUUUGUUACCUGAUGAUUUAGGGAGAGAAUCUUUUAAUUCUUCCUCUUCCUCUUCUUCUUCCUC
rnacentral:ribozyme from 13 species